GAUGAAGAACGCAGCGAAAUGCGAUAAGUAAUGUGAAUUGCAGAAUUCGGUGAAUCAUCGAAUCUUUGAACGCACAUUGCGCCCGCCAGCAUUCUGGCGGGCAUGCCUGUUCGAGCGUCAUUUCAACCCUCGCAGCCCAUCUGGGCAGCGGUGUUGGGGACCGGCACCACCGGCGAAGCCCUUAGGGGCCCAGCCGGCGCCGCCCCCGAAAUACAGUGGCGGUCUCGCUGCAGCCUCCCUUGCGUAGUAGCACACCUCGCACCGGAGCGCAGCGCGGCCACGCCGUAAAACCCCCGACUUUCUGAGUUUGACCUCGAAUCAGGUAGGAAUACCCGCUGAACUUAAGCAUAUCAAUAAGCGGAGGA
rnacentral:misc_RNA from 1 species